GGUUGUGUCGUAUAGUGGUUAGUACAACACGUUGUGGUUCCUUCGCCGGUUCCGUGUAAACCCUGGUUCGAUUCCAGGCACAGCCA
rnacentral:tRNA from 1 species